rnacentral:rRNA from 1 species
AACUCCCAAACCCCUGUGAACAUACCUUAAUGUUGCCUCGGCGGAUCAGCCCGCGCCCCGUAAAACGGGACGGCCCGCCAGAGGACCCAAACUCUAAUGUUUCUUAUUGUAACUUCUGAGUAAAACAAACAAAUAAAUCAAAACUUUCAACAACGGAUCUCUUGGUUCUGGCAUCGAUGAAGAACGCAGCAAAAUGCGAUAAGUAAUGUGAAUUGCAGAAUUCAGUGAAUCAUCGAAUCUUUGAACGCACAUUGCGCCCGCUGGUAUUCCGGCGGGCAUGCCUGUUCGAGCGUCAUUUCAACCCUCAAGCCCUCGGGUUUGGUGUUGGGGAUCGGCUCUGCCUUCUGGCGGUGCCGCCCCCGAAAUACAUUGGCGGUCUCGCUGCAGCCUCCAUUGCGUAGUAGCUAACACCUCGCAACUGGAACGCGGCGCGGCCAUGCCGUAAAACCCCAACUUCUGAAUGUUGACCUCGGAUCAGGUAGGAAUACCCGCUGAACUUAAGCAUAUCAAUAAGCCGGAGGAAAAG